ACGAACGCUGGCGGCAUGCCUAACACAUGCAAGUCGAACGAGACCUUCGGGUCUAGUGGCGCACGGGUGCGUAACGCGUGGGAAUCUGCCCUUCGGUUCGGAAUAACACAGAGAAAUUUGUGCUAAUACCGGAUGAUGACUUCGGUCCAAAGAUUUAUCGCCGAGGGAUGAGCCCGCGUAGGAUUAGCUUGUUGGUGGGGUAAUGGCCUACCAAGGCGACGAUCCUUAGCUGGUCUGAGAGGAUGAUCAGCCACACUGGGACUGAGACACGGCCCAGACUCCUACGGGAGGCAGCAGUGGGGAAUAUUGGACAAUGGGCGCAAGCCUGAUCCAGCAAUGCCGCGUGAGUGAUGAAGGCCUUAGGGUUGUAAAGCUCUUUUACCCGGGAUGAUAAUGACAGUACCGGGAGAAUAAGCUCCGGCUAACUCCGU
rnacentral:rRNA from 1 species